AAACCAUCCCAGAAUCUGGAUGUGGCCCAGU
rnacentral:piRNA from 1 species